CCUACGGGAGGCUGCAGUGAGGAAUAUUGGUCAAUGGUCGCGAGCCUGAACCAGCCAAGUAGCGUGAAGGAUGACUGCCCUAAGUGCGUUAAACUUCUUUUGUGCGGGAGCAAUAAUGGUGACGCGUGGCCAGACGAGAGUACAGUACGAAGAAGCAUCGGGUAACUCCGGGCCAGCAGCGGCGGUAAUACGGGGGAUGCAAGCGUUAUCCGGAAUUAUGGGGUUUAAAGGGUGCGUAGGCGGUGAGGUAAGUCAGCGGUGAAAUGCCCCCGCUCAACGGGGUGAAGUGCCAUUGAUACUGCCUUGCUGGAAUGCGAAUGCCGUGGGAGGAAUGUGUGGUGUAGCGGUGAAAUGCAUAGAUAUCACACAGAACACCGAUUGCGAAGGCAUCUCACGAAUCCGCGAUUGACGCUGAUGCACGAAAGCGUGGGUAUCAAACAGGAUUAGAUACCCCGGUAGUC
rnacentral:rRNA from 1 species